CUGGGAUGAUGAAAUUUAGCCAAAUCAGACGUUUGCUCCUUGAGGCAAUUUAUUUUGGGCUUGUUCCGAAUGUUUUUUGUAGAGACACUCUGGUGAUCUUUGCUAAGCACUUGAUCAAGCUCCAGA